GAGAGGCAAAACCUUGCCCAUGAAGCCAUCAGACUUCAUCGCAACAUGCCAGAAGUCCCUGGAUUGGCCGACACGACCAAAGAACCUUAGAUUCGGCCGAUCAGAUCCGGGAGCGAGCGAUCGCAGCCAUUAAUACUCUCCUCGGGUGAAUCAUUGAAAACACUGAAUGCUUUUGUACAAACAUUUAAUGCUCUUUUGCCGUUACCGUGCGAAUUUAAACUGGGAUAGUCUUUUGUCGCAACUUUUCAUUUAAUAGUCCUUUACUCCGACGGGACGCGUUUUACCAACCAUUACCCUUCAUCUUUCCCCUCUAUAAGUAUGAGACCCCCGUACUGCUUCUAGGGGCAUUCGCACCUUGCUCGGCCUUCCAUCCUUAAGUUGUCUUGUUUCCAUACUCUUAAGCCAGGUGCCGAGAUGUCUUCCUCUUCCUCCGUUAAUCAGGUAUAAGAUCUUCCUUCGUUCCUCCGCCCGACGCUCAUUGAUCUAACAACGGGUGAUUGUUUG
rnacentral:lncRNA from 1 species